rnacentral:rRNA from 1 species
ACGACAAAUAACUCUAUUCUUUAAGAAAAGAAUUGAAGGAAUGAACGGAACGUACAUAGUUUUGUGAAAGCAAUUGGAGGGCAAGUCUGGUGCCAGCAGCCGCGGUAAUUCCAGCUCCAAUAGUAUAUAUUAAAGUUGUUGUGAUUAAAAGGCUCGUAGUUGAAUGAAGAUACUAUUGAAAAGGCUUUUCUUUUUAUACAAAAAGAGAAGUUUAGUGAAACAAUAGAAGAAGGAAAUGGAUUACUUUGAAUAAAAUAGAGUGUUUAAAGCAAAACAAUGUUAAUGAAUAAUGAAGCAUGGGACAAUAAGAAGGAGAUUUGAAAGGAUUUCGAG